rnacentral:rRNA from 1 species
UAACGAUGAAGAGUUUGAUCCUGGCUCAGGAUGAACGCUAGCGGCAGGCUUAACACAUGCAAGUCGAGGGGUAGCAGGGGGCUUGCUCCGCUGACGACCGGCGAACGGGUGCGUAACGCGUAUAGAAUCUACCUCUUACUAAGGGAUAGCCCAGAGAAAUUUGGAUUAAUAUCUUAUAGUAUACAGACCUGGCAUCAGGAUUGUAUUAAAGGUUACGGUAAGAGAUGACUAUGCGUCCUAUUAGCUAGAUGGUGUGGUAACGGCACACCAUGGCUACGAUAGGUAGGGGCCCUGAGAGGGGGAUCCCCCACA